CAGCUGUACGUAACGGUUCGAUCUAAUUGUGAGCGGAAGUGAAAAACAAAACAUAAAUAAGCUCAAAGCUUAAACGAAAUAAUUUAUAUAAAAUACAACAAAAGAAAUAGAUAUACAUCGGACACCUGUAUUUGAAAAUAUUUCGUAGGCAAACGUUAAGUUCAAAAGCGCGAAAGUUAAGACAUUCCUAUCAAAACAAAUUUGAAGUGCUGAUCACUAAAGACACAAAAUGAAUUUAUCCUUUGCUGGCUGCGGAUUUCUUGGGUUAUAUCAUGUCGGCGUUGCUGUCUCCUUCAAGAAGUAUGCCCCGCAUUUACUUCUAGAAAAAAUCGGAGGUGCCUCCGCUGGGUCCCUGGCAGCAUGCUGCCUGCUAUGCGAUUUGCCACUAGGUAGCAUGACUUCCGAUUUCUUCCGCGUGGUGAACGAGGCGCGCCGGCACUCACUUGGGCCUUUCAGUCCGUCGUUUAAUAUACAGACCUGCCUGCUCGAGGGCCUCCAGAAACAUCUGCCCGAUGACGCACAUAAGCGUGUCAGCGGACGUCUGCACAUCUCUCUAACACGGGUCUACGACGGCAAGAAUGUGAUAAUCUCGGAGUUUGCGUCCCGUGAGGAGGUGUUGCAAGCUUUACUUUGUGCGUGCUUCAUUCCCGGCUUUUCUGGAAUUUUGCCACCGCGUUUUCGGGGCGUGCGGUAUAUGGACGGUGCGUUCUCGGACAACUUGCCAAUCUUGGACGAAAACACCAUAACUGUCAGCCCUUUUUGCGGCGAGAGUGACAUUUGUCCACGCGACCAAAGCUCGCAGCUAUUCCACCUUAACUGGGCCAACACAAGCAUCGAGAUAUCGCGGCAGAACGUCAACCGCUUCGUACGCAUUCUGUUCCCGCCGAGAGCCGAGUUCCUCUCAAAGUUCUGCCAGCAGGGAUUCGAUGAUGCACUGCAAUUUCUGCAUCGCAAUAACCUAAUUAAUUGCCGACGCUGUAUAGCUGUUCAGUCCACAUUUGUAGUUUCUGAAACAGUUGCGACAUCGCAGGAGAUGGAAUCAGAGUGCCGCGAAUGCAAGAAGCAUAGGAAGGAUGCAUUGAGCUCAAACAUGCCGGAAACCGUGUUGGACGUUAUACAAGACUAUUUGGAGCAGGCUAACAAGGGCCUGGCCAAUUGGAUCUUCAAGCAUCGCGGCAUUAAAUUGCUUUCGCUGCCGGCUACAGUACCCAUGGACUUCUUUCUGGCCACAGUAUCGAAAAUCAGCACCUUAACGCCAAAACUGACUAAGCAAAUGCGUCAAAUAGUUGAAGAGUUUAUUGUUCAGCUAAAUACUGCCAUGACAGUUCGUUUUCUCAACAAGUUUUCGCUUUACGAUCAGCCACACUUUGAUGCUACCGGCCUUCUUCACUCCAACCAUUUGUAUAAUCCACAUGUUUCAAUUCUCGUCGAUAAAUGUGAUACUACACCUUUAAAUAGCGAUGUCGGACAUGUCAUUGAGAUGACUGCGCAUAACGACGCGCUAUAUGCGUACUAUUACACAGAUAAUAAUACCAACAAUAUAAAAGUAACCGAAAUAUUCGAUUUUGAUGACAUGACAAAGCAUGAACUCAAUACCGAUUUGCAAGUUUAUAAUGGGUCAGUCGACGAUCAUGAAGUUGCGCAUCAGAAGUGUUUUAAUCCAGAAGUCAGUGAAUGGAACGGCAUUGAAUCGGUUCAAAUUAUGCCAACGAAACCUGAAUUACACGACGUCGCCUUCUAAAUACCAUCUUGACUGCACAUUGUAACAAUUCCCAAACCACUAAAUUAUUAACAUUUGAGUAUUUAAGACUAUUUUAUAGAUGAACAUACGCCGAAUACUAGCCCCUUGGCGACGCGUAUCGCGUAACCGUAGUCAGUUUUCCUGAGGCUGAACAAAGUUUAACCGAUUUGUACAUAAAUAUAUGUUAAAUACGCAAAAUUGUAUAUGCUUCAGUUAUAGUCCUUAUAUAAUUUGUAAUGCAACGAACCCAAAGUGGCUUGUAGCCAAGCAUUUGUGUGUAAAAACCUGAGUACCUAAUUAACUAAUAUUCAAUAUCCCAAAUGUACAGUAUGAUCUACUUUUAAGUAACAAAAAAAUGUAUAAUGAUAAAAAUAAGUUAAUGAAUUAAGUUAAGGUGGUAUGUAAUAAAAGGAAACAAAAUAAAAACAAUACAAAAGUUAUUCAAAGUCAAAGACUAAAAA